rnacentral:tRNA from 3 species
UUCCGGCGGGGCGGCCGUUGCCGGACGGGCGUUACACGCGCCCGACGCGCAGGUGCAGCGGCCAGCGCAGGAGU